rnacentral:lncRNA from 1 species
GAAGCGAGCGGAGCGCCGGCAGCGCUGCUGGGCGCGGGCAGCAGAGGGAUGAGCCUGUCAGCCACAAACAGGCUGAUUCCACAGGAAAAUGAAGUUUAUAAUGGAGGCCAGGCAGCAAUCUGACAUCUAAUUUUCAAUUAAAAAUCCUCCUAAACCAAAGACAGAAAUGCAGCCCUGCUUUUAGUUUAUUCCAAAAGAAACCUGAGCUUUGGAGUAAUCCUUUAAAAACCAGCACAAGUUUUCUGUGAAGAAAGCCAAGCCUCCAUCUGCUGCAUCCUGGACCUGUGCUGGCCCUGGCAGAACCUUCAAAUCCUGGACAUCUCAGUGGGAGCAGGAAAAAGAACAUUUAAAAAAUAAUUUCAUUUAAGAAAUGAAAUUAAGAAUUCUUUAAGAAGAGGUGAUCCCUUAAAAGGUGAGUUGAAAUAACUCAGAAUGG